UACAGAGGGGGCAAGCGUUGUUCGGAAUUACUGGGCGUAAAGGGCGCGUAGGCGGCCUUCUAAGUCGAACGUGAAAUCCCUGGGCUCAACCCAGGAACUGCGUCCGAUACUGGCAGGCUUGAAUCCGGGAGAGGGAUGUGGAAUUCCAGGUGUAGCGGUGAAAUGCGUAGAUAUCUGGAGGAACACCGGUGGCGAAGGCGGCAUCCUGGACCAACACUGACGCUGAUGAGCGAAAGCCAGGGGAGCAAACGGG
rnacentral:rRNA from 1 species